ensembl:lncRNA
UUGCUCUCUUGCCCCUACUUGGCUGCUUUCUUUCUUCUACCUUCCACCCUCAGGGGACAACAAGAAAAUCCUCCUUCUCUGGGACAAAAGGUGCUUAACGAACAAAACAAAACUGGAAAGGAAAAUUUUGUACUCACUAAGUCAAAUUUGAUUCCUGUGUAGGUCUACACAAAGGGUUAGUGGAAUAAUCAUGCGGUCAAGUGUUUCCUGUCCACGCGAUGGUAAUUUCUUCCUGCAAAUGACUUCUUUACCAUUUCAGUGUCUACCUGAGGCUUGUGUUUGUUUUUACUUAUUUUGAGUCUUUCUCCAGGGGCAUUCCUCAGGCCCCUGGGCACUGAUGGAAACUAUUGACUCCUUCCUCAAAAUGGAAGCUCAGAUGCUACCAACAUCUCCAAGAUUACAUCCCUGCCAAACCAAUUCAAGAUCUUCCAGAAUCAUUCAUGCCAGACGUGCCUUUAAAGUAGACCAGUGUUUCACAAAGUAUGGGCUCUGCACCAAUUUCAUUGGCUUCAUCUGGGAGCUUCUCAGAGACACCUCGGAAGAGAACUAACGCGUGUCACAUAACAUAUGUGAUUUUUUUCUCCUGGGAAAAAAUUUCCUAGGAGUUCACAGUCUUCUCUGUCAGGACUGGAUACGGCUCCUUGCAGACUGGUGACCUAAGAACUAAAAGGACAAGAUAUUUGUCCCCUCACAGCUAAUAUACAAUGGUGGAGCCUCUGAUCUUCUAGAGAUAUAAACUUCCCUUUCCUGUUUUCCUUCUCCCAGGAUCCUGCUUCCCUGCAGACUCUGCUUAGAAAAGUUAGUGAAUUCAUUAACUAUACUUCCUGAAACCACCUGAUAAAUAAUCAGUGCCCAAGUCCUUGAUUUGAAUAAGGAGUUUCCAAGGAUGAAGAUGCUCAUAUUAAAGACACGGAAAGAAGCACAGAGAAACAGGCUUUUCAAUUUUUGUGAAGUUUGCUCUCAAAUUUUGACUCAAUAUUUCGGGAAAAGACUGAUCUAAAACUUAGAAUGUGAUCACGGUCCACAGAAGCUCUUCACCAGAGAGUAUCCUGUGCAACUCCAGUCCUACGAGACGCUCUGUGAAGGGUCAAAUCAUCAGCAGAGCGUGCUUAGCAUUUGGGAAGAGUCACAGCGUACAAAAGACCAGGACAAGAACUCCAGCAAGAGAUUCUACUUAACCCACUGUUUCCCAAACUAAUAAACCACAGAAACCCUUUGCCAAAUAUUGAUGGACCUCACGUUCUGCAUUGUAUAUGCUGAAGAAAGCUCGUCAUGGUAAUAUGGCUGAUUUUUAAGCAAAGACGCUAAAAUGUGAAUCCUAAUAUAUUCUGUCCCAUUUGGGAAAAGUCAUCUUAGGAGGCUGUUCAUUUAUUCCUGUGAUGUUGUUCUAAAUCUUAAAAUGCUUCAAUGAUUUUGGGGAACGUUUCUUUCGGCAUUCCCUUUAGAGCCAGAGUCACAGAGGAAAAUCAGUCUUAUUACUUUACAAUCAUACCUCGUUGCUGACCCAAAAGACUGUCUGUGAACUCGGUCACCCUUCUCACUUACCAGACUUGGUGCUGAAUAAAAUUGCUUUAAAAAAAUAACAAAUAAAACUUCAAAGGAUGAAGAGUUUCCAAGGGUGAAGAUGCUCAUACUGAAGGUAAUUUAGCUUCUUGGCUACACUGAGGUGAAGUGUUUUUGAGUCAGGAUGAUGGACAGGAUUGACUGCUCUGAGCCACCACCUCAAAAGAAGUCUUUGUUCUUAUGCUCCCUGUUCACUUGGCUUCCUUUGGCCAACUCCUUCCAUCAGUUUCCUUGUUCUUGGCUACACUCAGUUCCUAGCUGUGUCCCAUACUCGGUCUGUGCCCUGUGUGUUGAUCUAGGGCAUCCCCCCAGGUAGGCACAAUCUCUUGGCUUCUAUCUUUUGCAUGCAUCUUACUUUGUGUUUCUACCUGCUUUCUUGUUUGGUUUUCUGCCUGGUAAAAUCCUUGUCUAUUAUUUCUGGAUUUCUGUUCCUACCUAAGUUGAAAUUUCUCAACUGUUAUUCUUGAGUAUCCUGACUCCUGGCUGAAGUGUCUUCUUGUUACCUUGCUUGAACAUCUCUAGUGCCUCUAAUAUGGCCAACCUCUAUAUUCCUGGCUGGCAUUAGUGUCACUUAGAAAACAUCUGGCUUAGACUUUGAGAUUCAGAAUUUAUUAAUUUGGCAUAUAUGUGUUGAAUGACUAAUAUACAUCAGAUACUGCUGUGAGUGUUAGAGAUGAAAAAGCGUUGAUAACACACUGCUACUUUCUAGGUACACCAUCUAGUAGAAGAGAUGAUGUGACACAAAACUAUAUAAGUGUACUGGGAUUGGGA